AUUGAACGCUAGCGGGAUGCCUUACACAUGCAAGUCGAACGGAGUGGCGAACGGGUGAGUAAUGUAUCGGAACGUGCCCAGUAGCGGGGGAUAACUACGCGAAAGCGUAGCUAAUACCGCAUACUCUUGGAGCGGCCGAUCUGGGGUUAGCUAGUUGGUGGGGUAACGGCUCACCAAGGCGACGAUCGGUACCUGGUUUGAGAGUACGACCAGACACACUGGGACUGAGACACGGCCCGAACUCCUACGGGAGGAAGCAGUGGGGAAUUUUGGACAAUGGGGGAAACCCUGAUCCAGCCAUCCCGCGUGGGCGAUGAAGGCCUUCGGGUUGUAAAGCACUUUUGGCAGGAAAGCGGUACCUGCAGAAUAAGCACCGGCUAACUACGUGCCAGCAGCCGCGGUAAUUC
rnacentral:rRNA from 1 species